rnacentral:rRNA from 1 species
AACGAACGCUGGCGGCAGGCUUAACACAUGCAAGUCGAACGCCCCGCAAGGGGAGUGGCAGACGGGUGAGUAACGCGUGGGAAUCUACCGUACCCUACGGAAUAGCUCCGGGAAACUGGAAUUAAUACCGUAUACGCCCUACGGGGGAAAGAUUUAUCGGGGUAUGAUGAGCCCGCGUUGGAUUAGCUAGUUGGUGGGGUAAAGGCCUACCAAGGCGACGAUCCAUAGCUGGUCUGAGAGGAUGAUCAGCCACAUUGGGACUGAGACACGGCCCAAACUCCUACGGGAGGCAGCAGUGGGGAAUAUUGGACAAUGGGCGCAAGCCUGAUCCAGCCAUGCCGCGUGAGUGAUGAAGGUCUUAGGAUUGUAAAGCUCUUUCACCGAUGAAGAUAAUGACGGUAGUCGGAGAAGAAGCCCCGGCUAACUUCGUGCCAGCCGCCGCAGUAA